rnacentral:rRNA from 1 species
UGAGGAAUCUUGCGCAAUGGGGGAAACCCUGACGCAGCAACGCCGCGUGAGUGAGGAAGGUUUUCGAAUCGUAAAGCUCUGUCAGAUGGAAAGAACCGCAUGGGGGCCAAUACCCCUCAUGCCUGACGGUACCAUCAGAGGAAGCACCGGCUAACUCCGUGCCAGCAGCCGCGGUAAUACGGGGGGUGCAAGCGUUGUUCGGAAUUAUUGGGCGUAAAGAGCGUGUAGGCGGCAGGAUGUGUCAGAUGUGAAAGCCCUGAGCUCAACUCAGGAAGUGCAAUUGAGACUGUCCAGCUUGAGUAGGGGAGAGGGAAGUGGAAUUCCUGGUGUAGAGGUGAAAUUCGUAGAUAUCAGGAGGAACACCGGUGGCGAAGGUGACUUCCUGGCCCUAUACUGACGCUGAGACGCGAGAGCGUGGGUAGCAAACA